rnacentral:pre_miRNA from 1 species
UAUUUUGACAAAAAGCAGAGCCUAUCAGUAUGAGCAGCUGCUCAUACUGAUAGGCUCUGCUUUUUGUCAAAAUUU